CGAGGGAUCAGACCACUUAGCCAAGAAGGACACUGACAUCGUGAGGACAACCAGAGAGUUGCGCCGGAGAAGUGCGUCAUUGAGAAGCCUAAACGACACACGCGGAGCUUCCCACCUGAGACCUCCAACACGCCCACACCUCUUCCCCGUCUCAUCGUCGGCCAACCGGCGUACACGCUGAGGCGCCUCCUGAAAGUUUGACCGCGGGGCAGGGGAUUCCAAUACCUGGUUGUCUGGGAGGGUUAUGACCCGCAGGAGAGGUGCUAGGUCCCCGCUAGGGACAUCCUGGACCCAGGUCUCAUUGCUGAGUUCCAACACCGGCACGCCCAUCUUCCUCAUUAUCCCCAUUGUAUUUAUACCUGUGCUCUCUGUUUGUCUGUUGCCAGUUAGUUUUGUUUCAUCAAGCGUACCAGCGUUUUGCCCCCGUGCUCCUGUCUGUCUCUAGUCCCUGUUUUCUAGCUUUCCCGGUUUUUAACCAUUCUGCCUGCCCUGACCCUGCCUGUCGUUCUGUACCUUGUCACACCACCAUGGAUUACUGACCUCUGCCUGCCCUGACCCUGAGCCUGCCUGCCGUUCUGUACCUUUCAGACUAUGCUCUGGACUACUGACCUCUGCCUGCCCUUGACCUGUCGUUUGCCUACCCCCUGUUUUUGUAAAAAACUUUUGAUACUUCGAAACUCUGCAUCUGGGUCUUCUCCUGAACAGUGACAGGUGGAGUGUUGUAGAGAUGGUUGUCCUUCUGGAAGGUUCUCCCAUCUCCACAGAGGAACUCUGGAGCUCUGUCAGAGUGACCAUCGGGUUCUUGGUCACCUCCCUGACCAAGGCCCUUCUCCCCCGAUUUCUCAGUUUGGCCAGUCGGCCAGCUCUAGGAAGAGUCUUGGUGGUUCCAAACUUUUUCCAUUUAAGAAUGAUGGAGGCUACUGUGUUCUUGAGGACCUUCAAUACUGCAGAAAUGAUUUGGUGCCCUUCCCCAGAUCUGUGCCUCAACACAAUCCUGUCUCACAGAUCUAUCGACAAUUCCUUCGACCUCACCUCAUGUGGGACCUUAUAUAAACAGGUGUGUGCCUUUACAAAUCAUGUCCAAUCAAUUGAAUUUACCACAGGUGGACUCCAGACAAGUUGUAGAAACAUCUCAAGGAUGAUCAAUGGAAACAGGAUACACCUGAGCUCAAUUUCAAGUCUCAUAGCAAAGGGUCUGAAUACUUAUGUAAAUAAUCAUUUUUAUUUUUAAUACAUUUGCAAAAAUGUCUAAAAACCUGUUUUUGCGAUGUCAUUAUGGGGUAUUGUGUGUAGAUUGAUGAGGGAAAAAAUGUAUUAAAUCAAUUUUAGAACAAGGCUGUAAUGUAACAAAAUGUGGAAAAAGUCAAGGAGUCUGAAUACUUUACGAAUGCACUGUACAUCAUCCAACGAAGUGCUUACUUGCAGGUUCCUUUUCGACAAUGC
rnacentral:lncRNA from 1 species